rfam:Prunus persica cultivar Lovell chromosome G5, whole genome shotgun sequence.
AGUUUACACUUGAUCUUUGAACUGUAGGUAAGUUCAGUUGUUGACAAGUUAUUAACUUAUGCU